UCUCCAAGAGGUUCUGCAGCAGCUGCAUGUCUUAGAUUGCUUGGGUAAUGCGGCUGGCAGGUUAUAGAAAACUCAUUGAUAAAUAGAUCAUUAAUACAUGACAAAAAAGACCUAUAAUAAAUCUAAAGAAUAAAAGGACGAUAUAUAGAUGAUAAUGAUAGAGAGAUAUUGCGCAGAGAGCUCAACUAUGACCGAUAGAGACAGAUACAUGACAGAUUAUACUGUACACAGGGAAAUAAAGGAAGGCAGAAGGAAACAUUCAUUUAGGAAUCACAAGGUGUAUCUGUAACCUUGCCCCUAUGUGUGGGGUUAAAAGCCCCCCUAUGUCCAGUAGAAAUACCCCACUUUCCCUAAGUGCCCAGUACCAGGCCGCUACUACCAUGAUGCCCAGUUGAGUAUAAGGGGACUGACAUUCAGGCUGUGGCAAAGCGGCCACUACUUGCUCUGGGAGCGAAGAGGUUACAGCCAGGCAGUAGGAAAUGGAAGCACAGACAGAGGCUCAGUGUUUGGGAAGGGGAGGGAGAGACCUCCGGACACUGCUCAGUUUGUCCCUGUCUGAGGGGCUCCGCUUGGCUCUCUGUGCCCUCUUCCCUCUCUGGAUUGUAACAUCGGGUAACACUGGCACCCCCUGCCCCGGACUGGGGCUCACACCCCCUGCCUCCCAGCUGGGAACACGGGAACAGAAAUUCGUCUUUAGGAUUCUAUACUUGGGAAUAAAAUUCAUAUCGCACACAGAAGGAGGGCCGAGCACUGUAUUGCAUCUAACAAGUGUCCGGCAAAUAAAUGAAAUAAAAUCUCUGAUCCCUUCUUUGCCAGUGGAAGAACAAACCUAAAAUUGCGCCCAUGUGAGUGCCCAGGCGCAAGGAAUGAUAAAGCGUACCCAUUGUGCGCAAUAAUAGCAUUUUAACGCAAUUCUCACAGAAAACCAGGUUGUUACAAUGUUACAUCAAUGCCACAAAUGGAAUUCGAACAAAGCAAUUCACCGGCAGUUAUUGCGCCUGUUUAGACCGAAAUAAAUCCACCUGUUUAGCCAGUGACCGUGGCACAGUAAUGCCACCAGUUUGCGCCGGGAAGCGGGGCAAUAAGUAACGUUGGAAUCAAUACUACCGAAUGCGUUUAAUUAAAACAAAACUAAUGAUGCCCCCCCCCCCCCUCUUCUCCAACCAAGACAGUCAAUUGCGCAUUGUUAGCGCCUAAACGUCCAGCUGUAACAUAUCAACUGCGAAUAUUCCCCUGAUUACACCGGUCUUUUGCUAAUAAAUUCAAGGGGCCGAGGGCGCAUUUCUGGCUCAGAGGGAGCUGAAAAAUAGACAAGUCAGAUGUGCUGGAGCCUGUGGAUUUGAUUUCAUUAAUUCACUCAACGGGACAUAAAAUAGCUCGCACACGACCUUCUGCGGCAGCUUAGCGACUCUUUCAGAGCCAAAUCCGGCCUGAUUCACACGGCUGCUUAAACACCAUUCGGCCAGAUUUAUUGGCUUCCCUCUGGGGAGAACCCGUGUCAGUGGGGCUGUGCCACUCGUGUGUGGAAAUGUCUGUGUGUAUAAAUGUGUUUAUAAAUUGGCUGCGUAUUUAUAUCAUUUAUCUAUCGACUGUGUGUUUGUGUGUAACUGUAUAUGUGUGUUACUGUAUACAUCUGCGCAAUUGCAUGUGUCCGACGUGUGUAGAUAUACAUAUUUCUGUAUGCGUUUUUCAUAGCACAAGUGUGUGUACAAUUCUAUAUAUACAAUGUAUAUGUGUGUGAUUGUAUAAAUGCAUGCCUGUAUGUAUGAGUGUUUAUGUCAAUAAAUAUGUGUACAAUCACAAA